rnacentral:lncRNA from 1 species
UUCACAACUUUUUACUUUACUCUAAUCACAUCAAAUGAAGUUUUCAAAAGAAGAUGGAAUCUCAGUCCAUCCGGGCCAUACUCAAGGCCCCUCUCGGGAUUAUCUUCUUCUUCCAAAAUUCUUCUCCUCAGGUUUCACCUUAGAGUUCUCUUUCUCAGAUUCCUCCUCCUCAGCUCCUCAUCGGGGUCCUAAAAUGUUUUUCCCCAAACCGGGAUGAGACUACAUCUCAGCGAGUUUUGCCCCACUAAGGCCCGAUUAGUAAACCAUUAUACUAUAGGCUGCCUAAACACGCACAGGGCAGAGGACUUACCUUGGCCUCAGAUUCCACCUGCAUAUUAGCACAGUUCAAUAGGCACCCAAGCAAUCACAUCACAGAUCGAUAUCUCGAUCAAUCGACCCAGUCAAUCACACGCCAACAAGACCACUCACAGUCAUUUCCAUUCAAUCCGUCAUUUCACAACAUCAUAUCAAAGCAAUGAUCAAUCGACCUAGUCGAUUACAUGUCAGUUGGACCAUUUCUAGGUCAUCUCACUCCACACCAUAUAAUCCCCAAUAGUACACUCAGUCGCAAAGCUACAGUAAUGCUCUCGGGCGUCUAUUCGCCAAGGUGAUGUACAAUAAACACUUUAUGUGCAUACUCUUAGGCAUUCCAAUUACCUUCAGCCACACGGGUACGAUACUUGACACAUAGAAAUACGGCCACGAUCUACGCCACACGGGCACGAUACUCGCCACACAAAAAUACGGCCACACAGGCACACUCUACGCCACACAGGCACGAUCUACUAUCGCCACGCAGGCAUGAUCAAUUAUCGCCACACAGGCAUGAUCAACUAUCGCCACACAGGCAUAAUCAAUAUUCAACAAUUUACGUGCAUUCUCUAAGGCAUCUUACAUGCCAAAGCGAUGUAACAAUCGCUGAGCCACAUCACACAGCAUUUCUUCUCAUUUUUUAUCAUCAUCGAUAAAAUAUUGUGCAUGGGUACUUAGCCAAAAUAUAAUAAUUUCAUUUCUACAAAUUCCACCAUUAUUUGCGUCCAUCAAAACACUUUUGGUGCUGUCAAUUGACACUCGAUUAUUUUCCAAUUAAUUAUCCAAAUUAAUUAAUCCAGGAAAAUAAUCUUAUAAUCACAAUUUAUUCAUUUCAGCAUUAAAUAAAGCUCGAUUAAAUAAAUGGACCGCACCACGAUGAUCAUCACGAAAUUCUAGUUGUCAGAUAACCCAGCCUUAAUUUUCGAAAAAUAAAUAAUUAAUUAAUUAAUUCCGAAAAUUAAUAAUUAAUUACAAUAAAUCCAAUUUAGCUCAAAUUAAAGCCCAUUUAAAUAAACUGACUACACCACGAUCAUCAACAUAUAAUUUCGGUCACCGGUCAUCUCAAACUUAAUUUCCGAAAAAUAAAUAAAUAAUUAAUUAAUUAAUUUCGAAAAUUAAUUAAUAAAUAUUAAAAAUUCAAUUUUGCUCAAAAUAAAGGCCGAUUAAAUAAACGAACUUCACCACGAUCACCAGCAUAAAAUUUCGAUCACGAGCCAUCCCAGUUGAAUUUUUGGAAAAUUAUUUAUUUAUUUAUUUAUUUAUUUCCGAAAAAUAAUAUUUAAAUACCAAAAAUUCCACUUAGGCCUGAAUUGCCUAAUUGAAGCCCACUAAGGGUCUGGAAAAAUCCCAAGAUACUUUCAAUAAAUAGUAGAUCAUGUCUACUUGCUAAAUGCACAUUCAAUUUGUUUAAUUCGCAUCACAAUUGACUAAUAAAUACUAAUACAUUCUAAUCUAACCACCUAAUUGCAUUUAAUUAAACCUAACCAACCCCUAAGCAUAAUUAGUCAACUAAUCAGAAUUAGUGAGAUUACUCACUGGAAUCGCACGCAAGUCGG